UACGUAGGGGGCAAGCGUUGUCCGGAAUCAUUGGGCGUAAAGAGCGUGUAGGCGGUCCGGUCAGUCGGUUGUGAAAGUCAAGGGCUCAACCCUUGAAUGCCGGCCGAUACUGCCGGGCUAGAGUCCGGAAGAGGUGAGUGGAAUUCCUGGUGUAGCGGUGAAAUGCGCAGAUAUCAGGAGGAACACCGAUGGCGAAGGCAGCUGACUGGGACGAUACUGACGCUGAGACGCGAAAGCGUGGGGAGCAAACAGG
rnacentral:rRNA from 1 species